AGAGUUUGAUCAUGGCUCAGGACGAACGCUGGCGGCGUGCCGAAUACAUGCAAGUAGAACGCUGAAAUCUGGUGCUCGCACCGGAUGGAUGAGUUGCGAACGGGUGAGUAACGCGUAGGUAACCUACCUCAUAGCGGGGGAUAACUAUUGGACAACGAUAGCUAAUACCGCAUAACAGUCUUUAACUCAUGUUAGAGUCUUGAAAGGGGCAAUUGCUUCACUAUGAGAUGGACCUGCGUUGUAUUAGCUAGUUGGUGAGGUAACGGCUCACCAAGGCGACGAUACAUAGCCGACCUGAGAGGGUGAUCGGCCACACUGGGACUGAGACACGGCCCAGACUCCUACGGGAGGCAGCAGUAGGGAAUCUUCGGCAAUGGGGGCAACCCUGACCGAGCAACGCCGCGUGAGUGAAGAAGGUUUUCGGACCGUAAAGCUCUGUUGUAAGAGAAGAACGUGUGUGAGAGUGGAAAGUUCACACAGUGACGGUAUCUUACCAGAAAGGGACGGCUAACUACGUGCCAGCAGCCGCGGUAAUACGUAGGUCCCGAGCGUUGUCCGGAUUUAUUGGGCGUAAAGCGAGCGCAGGCGGUUUGAUAAGUCUGAAGUUAAAGGCUGUGGCUCAACCAUAGUACGCUUUGGAAACUGUCAAACUUGAGUGCAGAAGGGGAGAGUGGAAUUCCACGUGUAGCGGUGAAAUGCGUAGAUAUAUGGAGGAACACCGGUGGCGAAAGCGGCUCUCUGGUCUGUAACUGACGCUGAGGCUCGAAAGCGUGGGUAGCGAACAGGAUUAGAUACCCUGGUAGUCCACGCCGUAAACGAUGAGUGCUAGGUGUUAGGCCCUUUCCGGGGCUUAGUGCCGCAGCU
rnacentral:rRNA from 1 species